CCUACGGGGGGCAGCAGUCGAGAAUCAUUCACAAUGGGGGAAACCCUGAUGGUGCGACGCCGCGUGGGGGAAUGAAGGUCUUCGGAUUGUAAACCCCUGUCAUGUGGGAGCAAAUUAAAAAGAUAGUACCACAAGAGGAAGAGACGGCUAACCCUGUGCCAGCAUCCGCGGUAAUACAGAGGUCUAAAGAGUGGUUGGGAAUCACUGGCCGUAAAGCGUGCGUAGGCUGUUUUGUAAGUCGUGUGUGAAGGGAGCGGGCUCAACCCGCGGAUGGCACAUGAUACUGCGAGACUAGAGUAAUGGAGGGGGAACCGGAAUUCUCGGUGUAGCAGUGAAAUGCGGAGAUAUCGAGAGGAACACUCGUGGCGAAGGCGGGUUCCUGGACAUUAACUGACGCUGAGGCACGAAGGCCAGGGGAGCGAAAGGGAUUAGAUACCCGUGUAGUC
rnacentral:rRNA from 1 species